GCCGCGCCGGGGGAGAUUUUGGCGCCAGGACAAAGCGGCGGUUGGGCUGGCUCGGGGCGCGCGCGCGGGAAAGGGCUGCGGGGGAUCCCGUCACAUCCGGGUACCUGGAGGGGAGCGAACGCGGCGCCCCCGCCCCGCGGGGACCGGGGAGGAGCACCUCCCUCUGGCAGAGCCCGCCAUGCCGCUGCCCCUGGACUGCGCGGGGGCCGAGUCCCAGCUGAGCCGCACGCCCCUGCCGGUGCCUGUGCCGGCCUUCUUCCAGGAGGCCAAGCGCAGCUUCUCGGCGAAGAGGCCAGGCCGCCCGCUCAGCUACACCCUCCCGCCCCGACCGCGCCACAAGGGCACCUUGACUGUCAGCCGGGUCUUCGCCGGCCGCCAACCACAGCCCUGGAGCCAGCCCCGGCCGCGCAGCGUCUCCUUCGGCGGCUCCCACGCCCGGGCGCUGGCCCCCCGCAGCCGCCUCUACGACCCCACCCGCAGAGAGCCCUUCUUCAGCCAGUGCUUCCAGCUGCUGGGCCGGCUGGGGCGUGGCUCCUUCGGGGAGGUGUAUAAGGUGCGCAGCAAGGAGGACGGGCGGCUGUACGCAGUGAAGCGCUCGGUGGAGCCAUUCCGGGGCGCCGGCGACCGGCAGCGCAAGCUGGCCGAGGUGCGGAAGCACGAGCGGGUGGGGCGCCACCCCAACUGCGUGAGCUUCGUGCGGGCCUGGGAGGAGCGGGGUCAGCUGUACAUCCAGACAGAGCUGUGCCCGGCCAGCCUGCUGCAGCACUGCGAGGGGCGCGGGACGCUGCCCGAGGGCCAGGUGCGGGCCUGCCUCUGGGACCUGCUGCAGGCGCUGCGCCACCUGCACGCCUGCGGGCUGCUGCACAUGGACGUCAAGCCGGCCAACGUCUUCCUCACCGAGCGCCGUGUCUGCAAGCUGGGCGACUUUGGCCUGGUGCUGGAGUUGGACCGUGGAGACCUGAGUGACGCCCAGGAGGGCGACCCGCGCUACAUGGCACCCGAGCUGCUGCGGGGAGAGUACAGUGAGGCGGCUGAUGUCUUCAGCCUUGGCAUGACUAUCCUGGAAAUCGCCUGCAAUAUGGAGCUGCCCAAUGGAGGGGAGGGCUGGCAGCAGCUCCGGCAGGGCUACUUGCCUCCCGAAUUCACUGCCGGUCUCUCCUCAGAGCUGCGGGCGCUGUUGGCUGCCAUGCUGGACCCCAAUCCCCGGCUCCGGCCCUCGGUGGAGGCGCUGCUCAACUCCAGCAUCAUGCGCAAGACAGAGAAGUGGCGCAAGCUGACACUGCUGGUGCAGGACGGACUCCUGAGAGCUGCCUCCUUGUGCCAGGGUGUUGGGAGUUUUGUGCGUUGGCUGUGGGCUGCCCUGUGCCUGCCGGCGCGCUGGCUCUCCAGCUGGCAUCGCAGCGUGCCCGUUACCCCGCCCUGCUCCCCGCUACUUGCCACCCUGCUGGAUAGCAGCUUCUCCUGGGACGAAGAGGAGGAGGAGGAGGAGGAAGAUGGGAGCCUGGGGGAGGAUGUGUUCGAGGUAUCGGGAGUCUGCGGGCGGCAUAACCGGACAUGCCCCGGGGAGCUGCUAUUGCAGGACAAGCCCCCGAGCUCCCCGCCGCUCAACCUGCGUCCCUCCAUGGGCAGCACUUCCACCCCGCGCCACCUCUCUCCACCAGAGACCGGCAGCAGGAGGACGAGGUCCUCAGCUGUCCAGGGCAGCCCCAACUUGAGCCGCAUUAGCCCGGAUUCCCCCCCCAGCAGCCCCGGCUCCCCCAGCGGGGGCAGCCUCCGCCGCACCCUGGCCUUUGAGGAGGACGACGAGCAGCGGGGGGAGAGCGCCCCCCAGGGUGCAGGCCAGCAUUGCUCCUUCGAGCCCAGGAACCUCCUGAGCAUGUUCGAGGAUGCCACGGCGGAGCAGAAGUGACCGGCCUCCGAAGAUCAGCUGCCCUCAGCUUGAUGGUUCCUGGGGCGGGGAGGCUUUUUAACCUCUUCAUGAAAUGGUGGGAGGGAUACAGGUGCUGCCAUCCCCUCCCACUAGAGGUCGCUGGCUCUGCCCCAGGCUAGGACCCACUGGGGUUAGUGGAUCUUUUUUUGUUUUUUUUCUGUUUUUAAGGGAAGGCAGCAACUAUGAAAAGUGUUAAAUAAAAAGUGCUUUGAAAUGAUCACAAGGCUGAGGGACCGCUCGGGGGGGGGACAGAUUGUCAGGGUCGCUCCUGUCUCUGGGGUGUGGGCAGCACUGCCCCUGGCUGGAGGGAGCUGGGAUCCCUUGGGUGUGUGGGGUGAUCUGUGCCACUCUACCUCCAGCGUGACCACUAGCACCACUAAGUCACUCCCUCCUCAGCAGGGCUGAUGAGCUGGGAUUUCCUGGGCACCCUACAGACCUUGAUGAUGUAACACCUCCCAGGGGUGCACAAGGCCUGUCAGCCACCCCAUGGGACAUGCAGCAGGUGGGGUGUCCUACCACACAAGAAGUGGGAGGGGCCGGCAUGUUCCUUUCUCUGCUCUUCUCGUGUUUCUCGCAGGCAGAGGUCUGGGUGUGCUUUGUGGGCUGACUCCCCUACUGCCCCUCCCUCCAUAGUAAACUGAGGCACAGGCAAGGGCAAUAACUGCGCUCUGAACACACACAUUACAGUUAGGACAGAACCCAGGAGUCCUGGCUUCCAGUUCCCCUGCUCUAACCCACUGGACCCCAUUCCUCUUCCA